rnacentral:sRNA from 1 species
ACACAAAUAAUAUAUGGUGGGGACACAGGAUCUGAACUCUUCAAAUAUCCAUGCAAAAUAACAGAAAACAACAAUGGAGAUAUUGUAGUUUCUGAUUGGUCUACGGCUGUAGUGGUGACGGAUCGUGAAGGGAGGCAUCGUUUUUCUUACACAGGACAUCCACCAGGAUCAAAACUACAGCCACGUGGAAUUUGUACGGAUGCACUUUCACACAUCUUGGUAUGUGAUGAUGAAACCGAGACAGUACAGUUGUUAGAUAAAGAUGGUAAGUUCUUGCUACAUCUACUGAUAAGACCACCAGGGAUAAUCAGACCACACAAUUUGAACUAUGAUGUCGCCACUCAUCGUCUCUGGGUUGGAUCAGAGGAUAUUAACAAGGUUCUUGUCUACAAGUAUAUUACCCGACAAGACGCCGUAAUUGAUCAAUAUCAAACCACUACUAUUAUGGAGUCACCAAAUGAAAACCCAACCCAGGAAACAGAGACACCGCAGGACAGAAAUGAGUGUCUGCUGCAACUGAUGUCUUCCCCUGAGUUACAGCAAUCAUUCACAGUAAAAGAUGUUAAGUCUUGUUAUCACAUUUCCUACUUUAAAUCAGACCUUGUUUGGGUAAGUGAAAGUUGUAAUCUUGUACUGACAAACACAACAGGCAACACUGAACAUCAAUUGACGGACAUACCUGUCGAUACAUUCAGUGGAUUACACACUGUGAACAGCGAAGGAGAAUUGUUUUUUAUUGAUAGGGAUUAUAACAUUAAAAAACUAUCAAAUGAUAUGAACACAAUCACUAUAUUUGCAAAGCAAACAGACGACCCUAACUGGACACCACGGAGUGUGUACUGGUCAGCGUCUGGUGGAGACUUACUGGUUGGUUUGGGUAAAGCAAAUCCUGAAACUGGCAAGGUUUCCCGGUACAACCGAACCGGGCAGCAGACACAACCAAGGCAACACAACAACUCAGAUCAAGAGAUAUAUAAAGACCCUAAAAUUAUCACAGAAAACAAUAAUGGAGAUAUCGUGGUCUCUGAUUUUGAUGCUGUAGUUGUGACAGAGCGUGGGGGAAGACAUCGUUUCUCCUACACAGGGCAUCCACCAGGGUCACCUCUGAAACCCCGUGGUGUCUGCACUGACGCAAUGUCCCACAUCAUAGUGUGUGAUAAUAGAUCCCGCACAGUGCAUAUGUUAGAUGAAAACGGUCAGUUUUUGUCAUAUCUAUUGCCAAAAUCACAAGAGAUGGGAAUACCAAGCAGCCUGAGUUAUGAUGGUAACACUCAUCGUCUCUGGCUAGCAGCAGGAUCAUAUAAAAAGUACAAGGUGUUUGUCUACAAAUAUAUGACUCUGAAAGACCCUCCGACUGAUGAAGAACAUCCACAGGAUCCUGAAGGGUUUCCUUUAUCCAACUGAACCUCAGCUUGUGAAUCAUAGUACAUGUAUAUUAUGCAUGUAUAUCUAAAAGAUAAUACUGCCAAAACUAACAUGCCUUUGCAUUUAAAAUGGCAGACGUGUAACACUGCCUCCUGAUUAUUUCACAAUGAUUUUGAAUUUAAUGUAAGUUAACUAUAUACUCUAACGAAAUAAGUAUUUUUAAAUAUUUCAUCAUUUUAAUAAAAUAAAAUAUUUUUAUUGCUAUAGUAAACAUUUUUAUGGAGAUAGAGAGUUCCAUUGUUUCGCCUUUAUAUCAAUAACAUUUGAACGAAGAUGACCAUUUGGUUAUUUAUCUUUUUCUUUAUAUCUUAAGGUAGUCCAUCCAUAACUAUCACAUUUCAUAUCUAAUAGAUUGCAAGUUUGAUCACUAAAAUCUUAGUGUGAUUUUAAGGAAAAUUUUUUUAAUGAAUUUAUCAUAUGUUGAAGUUAACAUUGAAGUCUAUGGAAAAAAUGCACUUUUAAAGAUAUUUCUUUAGUACAAGUAUUUUUCUCACAUUUUUCUUGGUAAAAAGUUGCAAAAGCUUUCUGUCUUCGAAUAUGCUAAAAUAUUUCAUAGUUUACUAUACAUAUUUUUAGAAAAUUAUUUUUUUAAAAUUUUCCAAAAGGGCAGACAACUCUUUAAAAAAGAUUUAAGUGCAAAAAGUUCAUUUAACUGACUACAUACAUACACCCAAGUUUGGUUUACACCAGCCUCAUAAUAGCUUUAAAAUACGUAUUUGAUGUUGUAUAUAUCAAUCAAAAUUGUUAAAUUAACCUUAGUUAUGGAUGGACUACCUUAAAUUGAAAAUAUGUUCAAAUAAGUUUUUACAUUACAAUGUUGCAAUACAAUUC